AUUAAAAUAAUCCCAAACUUAUAUAGUAAAAACGUUUAAUAGUAUUUACAUAACUAAACUCUAAUGCAAAAUCAUUAUUGAUAUAAAUAAUAUCAUAUUAAAAAAAUUAUAUCUUUCAUAAAUAAAUGCUUAGUAUAGCAAAAACAUAUUAAACCUAAAUAAAUAUAAAUAAAUUAAUAUAUUUAUCGGAAGGAAAAUAGUGCAGAUAAAACGCGCGCGCAUUUUAAAAAUGGACGUAAUAUGGAAAUACUAGAAAAAUUUUUACAUAUUCGCACAUUGCGCACACCGCGAUUUCCUCAACAUCCACAAAAAACCACAGAUGUGAUUACAUAAGAAAAAAUUCUGUCGCAACCUCCAACCACCAAAAGCAGAAACAUUACAUACACUCUUAGAUGCAAUGUUGCAACGAAGAAGCACAAAGCCGCCAACUGUGUACAUGUGACUCGUAGCGUAUGAGCAAUACGUCGUCGGCUUUGGUCUGACCAACCAAAAACGAUUGACGAACUUGCGCUCAAACCACUACGAACCGUAAUGCACUUCACUUCGCCAACACAUGCACAUUCUCAUAAGCAUAACAGAGGGAAACACUCUAAGCCGCUGUGCUUUGCACUUACGCGAAACGCAAGGGAAGACAAUAUUUAAUAGUGCAAUAACAAUAAAAAAAA